rnacentral:rRNA from 1 species
UACGUAGGGGGCAAGCGUUAUCCGGAUUUACUGGGUGUAAAGGGAGCGUAGACGGUAGUGCAAGUCUGGAGUGAAAGGCGGGGGCCCAACCCCCGGACUGCUCUGGAAACUGUGCGACUAGAGUGCAGGAGAGGUAAGUGGAGUUCCUAGUGUAGCGGUGAAAUGCGUAGAUAUUAGGAGGAACACCAGUGGCGAAGGCGGCUUACUGGACUGUAACUGACGUUGAGGCUCGAAAGCGUGGGGAGCAAACAGG